UGAACGCUGGCGGCGUGCCUAAUACAUGCAAGUCGAGCGACCAGACGAGGAGCUUGCUCCUCUGCCGUUAGCGGCGGACGGGUGAGUAACACGUGGAUAACCUACCUAUAAGACUGGGAUAACUUCGGGAAACCGGAGCUAAUACCGGAUAAUAUAUUGAACCGCAUGGUUCAAUAGUGAAAGACGGUUUUGCUGUCACUUAUAGAUGGAUCCGCGCCGCAUUAGCUAGUUGGUAAGGUAACGGCUUACCAAGGCGACGAUGCGUAGCCGACCUGAGAGGGUGAUCGGCCACACUGGAACUGAGACACGGUCCAGACUCCUACGGGAGGCAGCAGUAGGGAAUCUUCCGCAAUGGGCGAAAGCCUGACGGAGCAACGCCGCGUGAGUGAUGAAGGUCUUCGGAUCGUAAAACUCUGUUAUUAGGGAAGAACAAAUGUGUAAGUAACUAUGCACGUCUUGACGGUACCUAAUCAGAAAGCCACGGCUAACUACGUG
rnacentral:rRNA from 1 species